GCUGUGUGUGGUGGCACACACCUGUAGUCCCAGUUGCUCGGGAGGCUAAGGCAGGAGGAUCGUGUGAGCCCAGGAGUUCUGGGAGCUAUGCCGAUUGGGUGUCCACACUAAGUUCAGCAUCAGUAUGGUGGCUUCUUGGGAGUGGGAGACCACCAGGUUGCCUACGAAGGAGUGAGCCAGCCCAGGCUGGAAAUGAAGCAGGUGAAUACUUCUGUGCUGAUCAGUAGGAUCAGGCCUGUGAAUAGCCACUGCACUCCAGCCUGGGCAAUAUUGCAAGACACUAUCUCCU
rnacentral:SRP_RNA from 1 species